UGGAAUGGUAAUUUGCUGCUGACAUUAUUUGUCCUUCCUCUCUUGAAUCCAUCAUCUCCAUCUCCAUCUCUCUCUCUGAUCCUAACAUUAAUUGGGAUAGUUAUAUUUUUGAACCGUUCAAGAAAAUAAUAGCCAACAAAUAUUUUGUCUCUUAAGUAUAUAAAAUACGGAAAAGGGCCAGAUGUGCCCUUCAACUAUAUGAAUUUCACGCAUACGUCUGUCAUUUAAACGUUAGCUCACACAUGCUCCUACCGCUAAAAUUUGGGCUACUCGUGUCCUUACACUAACAGAACCCAAUUUAAACUCGGAUCCCACUUAUUUUAACUCAAACCCACUAACCUGCCCCAAAAAACCCAACCCCACCUUAAAUUCCCAUUUCUUUUCUCAUUUUAACUCAUCUCUCCUCUCUCUUCUCUUAGUACGAUUCUAGGGUUUGCGCCAUUUCUGAUCGAAGAAGGGUUCUCGUUGCUGUUUCCAGUCGUAUUGGUUAAGGAAAGAUAUCAAGAAAUAUUAUGGGAAAAAUCACAGUCUCAGUCUAAUAUUGAUCAAUUUGAAACCUAUUAUCAAACCACGGGAGGAGAACAGAAGAGAAAAAUAUAUGGUCUUGGAUCUGAAGUAAAAAGUUACUA